GAUGAACGCCAGCGGCAGGCUUAAUACAUGCAAGUCGAGGGGCAGCAUGAUUGUAGCAAUACAAUUGAUGGCGACCGGCAAACGGGUGCGGAACACGUACACAACCUCCCAAUAAGUGGGGAAUAGCCCAGAGAAAUUUGGAUUAAUACCCCGUAACAUAACGAUGUGGCAUCACAUUGUUAUUAUAGAUUUUUCGCUUAUUGAUGGGUGUGCGGCUGAUUAGAUAGUUGGCGGGGUAACGGCCCACUAAGUCUACGAUCAGUAGCUGAUGUGAGAGCAUGAUCAGCCACACGGGCACUGAGACACGGGCCCGACUCCUACGGGAGGCAGCAGUAAGGAAUAUUGGACAAUGGACGCAAGUCUGAUCCAGCCAUGCCGCGUGAAGGAUUAAGGUCCUCUGGAUUGUAAACUUCUUUUAUAAGGGACGAAAAAAGGCUUUUCUAAGUCGUCUGACGGUACCUUAUGAAUAAGCACCGGCUAACUCCGUGCCAGCCGCCGCAGUAAGAC
rnacentral:rRNA from 1 species